rnacentral:rRNA from 1 species
GAUGAACGCUGGCGGCGUGCCUAAUACAUGCAAGUCGAGCGAACAGACGAGGAGCUUGCUCCUUUGACGUUAGCGGCGGACGGGUGAGUAACACGUAGGUAACCUACCUAUAAGACUGGGAUAACUUCGGGAAACCGGAGCUAAUACCGGAUAAUAUUUCGAACCGCAUGGUUCGAUAGUGAAAGAUGGCUUUGCUAUCACUUAUAGAUGGACCUGCGCCGUAUUAGCUAGUUGGUAAGGUAACGGCUUACCAAGGCAACGAUACGUAGCCGACCUGAGAGGGGGAUCGGCCACGCUGGAACUGAGACACGGUCCAGACUCCUACGGGAGGCAGCAGUAGGGAAUCUUCCGCAAUGGGCGAAAGCCUGACGGAGCAACGCCGCGUGAGUGAUGAAGGUCUUCGGAUCGUAAAACUCUGUUAUUAGGGAAGAACAAACGUGUAAGUAACUGUGCACGUCUUGACGGUACCGAAGCAGAAAGCCACGGCUAACUACGU